AGGAUGAACGCUGGCGGCGUGCCUAACACAUGCAAGUCGAACGUCCUGUCUCGCAAGAGGCAGGGAGUGGCGGACGGGUGAGUACCACGUGGGUCAUCUACCGUGAGGUGAGGAAUACCGGCGAGAAAUCGCCGACAAGACCGCAUAGGCUCGAUGCAAGUCGAGCAAAGCUCUUUCGAGAGAGGGAGCGCCACACGAGGAGCCUGCGCCCGAUUAGCUAGCUGGUGGAGUAACGGUUCACCAGGGCGACGAUCGGUAGCUGGUCUGAGAGGACGAUCAGCCACACUGGGAUUGAGAACGGCCCAGACUCCUACGGGGGCAGCAGUGAGGAAUUUCGUCAAUGGGGGCAACCCUGAACGAGCAACGCCGCGUGCAGGAAGAGGUUUCGGAUCGUAAACUGCUUUUCGUCGGGAAGAGAAUGGACGGUACCCGAGGAAUCAGCCCGGCUAACUACGCGCCAGCAGCCGCGGU
rnacentral:rRNA from 1 species